rnacentral:rRNA from 1 species
CUUGCCCUACGGGAGGCAGCAGUGGGGAAUAUUGCACAAUGGGGGAAACCCUGAUGCAGCGACGCCGCGUGAGCGAUGAAGGAUUUCGGUAUGUAAAGCUCUAUCAGCAGGGAAGAAAAUGACGGUACCUGACUAAGAAGCCCCGGCUAACUACGUGCCAGCAGCCGCGGUAAUACGUAGGGGGCAAGCGUUAUCCGGAUUUACUGGGUGUAAAGGGAGCGUAGACGGCGGGGCAAGCCAGAUGUGAAAGCCUGGG